rnacentral:rRNA from 1 species
GACGAACGCUGGCGGCGUGCUUAACACAUGCAAGUCGAACGAUGAAGUUCCUUCGGGAAUGGAUUAGUGGCGAACGGGUGAGGAACACGUGAGAAACCUGCCUUUCAUUUUGGGAUAACUCCGGGAAACCGGGACUAAAGCCGAAUACUCCGUCUCGGCAGCAUCGCUGAGCCGGGAAAAAAUUUUGAUGAAAGAUGGUCUCGCGGCCUAUCAGCUAGUUGGUGAGGUAAUGGCUCACCAAGGCAACGACGGGUAGCCGGCCUGAGAGGGCGACCGGCCACACUGGGACUGAGACACGGCCCAGACUCCUACGGGAGGCAGCAGUGGGGAAUAUUGGGCAAUGGGCGCAAGCCUGACUCAGCGACGCCGCGUGAGGGAUGAAGGCCUUCGGGUUGUAAACCUCUUUCAGUAGGGAAGAAGCGAAAGUGACGGUACCUAAAGAAGAAGCACCGGCUAACUAUGUGCCAGCCGCCGCCGUAA